UUCAAAAUUUCUCAUUUCCUUGAUAGGAAACUAAUUUAGAAUUCUUUGUAAACGAGACUUUUGUCGUCCUUCGUUAUUCGUGAGCCUGUGAUUCCAUUGGUCAGCAAAAAGGAAAAAAGCAUCGUCUAAAUUUAAGUUUGGAAAUAUCCAAAGAAAAGAUGUGGUGUUUGAACAAUAUAAACUUGACGUGUGACUCGGAGAGAUGGUCAACAAAUCGCCUUCAAGGAAUGAAACAACGAAGAAAUCGAAGGGGAAUUAAUUAAGUCUUGACUCCAACUAAUCUCAUUGGAUUGAUAAUCUGCAGUAUUGACGUCACUAUCGUCAUGAUAACGGGGAAAUUAUUCGAAGAUCGUGCUUUUCUGAAGAAAUUUAUCGCAGGGGGGAAACGUGAUAGCUUCAGCUUUGAUGAUGUGAAUUCCAAGCCAAUCUGUCUAGGUAUCCCAAUACACACCUUGAAGAGAGACCCAACGUCUGCUGCUCCAUCAGUAUCCAGUGAACUACCAAACAUUUGCUCCACUUCACAUUCAUUUAACGGGAAGACACGCCGACAAGAAUGAGGAUAUCAGAGAAGAGAAAGAACAUUCUCUCUUGUGAGCCACGCUUGCAAGCCUGCAACAAGCAAAGAAGUUUCAAGAUUAUAUUAGAUCCCACAGCAUGACCAAGCUAGCUUGCACUGGAAUCCAAAGUGCAGUGAAAUAAUCUCCUACUUACAGUUGUCAGGGUGUGUAGCUGUUGCUGGUAAGUCUUUUCUGUGGUGAAUAUCUCAUUAAUAACCUUCUUGCGCUUCCUAGCCAUUAUUUGGGCUUGCAGUAUGCCAUUCAUUUCCUUUGACAAGGCCUGUCCUGUCUGAGACACUUGCAAAGACAGGAACUUUUUGGCACUACGCACUGUAUUGACAAAAUGGUGAUCAGUAAUACACAUGUACUCGUAAUGAAUUCAAUACAGUCAACUCUUGUUACAGUGGACACCCUCGGGACCGUCACUUCAUGUCCGUAUUAGCGAGCGUCCGCAAUAGCGAGUUUUUCUACGCUCAUUUCUUUGUCAGUAUUUUUGUCGGGGAUUUUUCUCCUGUCCGUAAUAGCAAGGUGUCUGUAAUAUUGGGGUGUCCGCAAGGCGAGAGUUCACUGUAUUUAGUUUAUAUUUUGAUUAGGCUUUUAUCUUGUAAAGCACAUUGAAACUGUUUUGGAAUGCCCUUAUUAUUAUUAUUAUAAUUAGUAUAAUAAUAAUAAUUAUUAUUGAUAUUAUUAUUAAUAUUAAGGAGUAAUCAACUUUGCAUGAGCAUGUCUCUGUCCUCUGAUAUAAACAUGGUAUAUGUAGCCAGCCAAUCAUUGCGUUUGUAAUAAUUAAAUAUUUUAUAAAUAGUCUGAUAUACAUCUUUGGGCUCCCUGUGAAUUUUGCAUGACCAAAAAAGUAAGAGUUAGUUACCGAGAACGGAGGUAAUAAGCCAUAUACAUCCCGAGGGCCACAGGCCCGAGGGAUGUAUAUGGCUUAUUGCUGACGUUCGAGGUAACUAACUAUUUUAGUUAUCAAUUAAGAAGGUUUUCUAUAAUAUUCUGAUGUUAGACUUUUAAGAUAAUGAAAAUAAAAAGAAUUUUAAAAAAUA
rnacentral:lncRNA from 1 species